UAAGUUAAAGUAAAUUUUACGUUUUAUUUACAAUAAAAGAUUCUUAUUUAAGUAACUUAU
rnacentral:tRNA from 1 species